rnacentral:rRNA from 1 species
AGAGUUUGAUCCUGGCUCAGAAUCAACGCUGGCGGCGUGCCUAACACAUGCAAGUCGAGCGAGAAAGGGGCUUCGGCCCUGAGUAAAGCGGCGCACGGGUGAGUAACACGUGAGCGAUCUGCCCUCGACACUGGGAUAGCCCGGGGAAACCCGGAUUAAUACCGGAUAGUCUCUCGAGCCCACGGGCUCGUGAGAAAAGAUGGCUUCGGCUUUCGGUUGAGGAGGAGCUUGCGGCGGAUUAGCUUGUUGGUGAGGUAACGGCUCACCAAGGCGACGAUCCGUAGCUGGUCUGAGAGGACGAUCAGCCACACUGGGACUGAGACACGGCCCAGACUCCUACGGGAGGCAGCAGUGGGGAAUCUUGCGCAAUGGGCGAAAGCCUGACGCAGCGACGCCGCGUGAGGGAAGAAGGCCUUCGGGUUGUAAACCUCUUUCAGGAGGGACGAAGCUACUCGGGUUAAUAGCCCAGAGGGUGACGGUACCUCCAGAAGAAGCCCCGGCUAACUACGUGCCAGCAGCCGCGGUAAUUC